rfam:Triticum aestivum genome assembly, contig: Triticum_aestivum_CS42_TGACv1_scaffold_621525_7DS
AACAUACUCCCUCCGUCCGGAAAUACUUGUCGGAGAAAUGGAUGUAUCUAGACAUAUUUUAGUCCUAGAUACAUCGAUUUUUAUCCAUUUGUGCGACAAGUAAUUCCGGACGGAGGGAGUACAAU